rnacentral:tRNA from 1 species
AUUUAUAUAGUUUAAUAAAAACCUUACAUUUUCAUUGUAAAAAUAAAAUU